CUCGGGGUGGAUUUUCGCCCUGAAGAAGAGCCGGGAACACGGUGGAUAUUCGCCGACAGUGAGUGUGCCUUGUUCGACAUGCGGAUCCUCCGUCGACGGCGGUCGUCGCGACGUCGGAAACCCGGGUCGCCGAGGCAGCGUGCUCGAGGCAUGGCCACGCCCAGGAACACGGCCAUCUUUGAUUAUCCGUGCGCAGUGCACCGCGGGAAAGCAACUACCCCGGUAACCCGCUCCAUGCCACACGACGCUAACGACGCACAAGAAUCCGGUUGCCAGAAAUGACUCCAAAAACUUCAUGCAAACGUUGGACGAUCGAGACCGAAGACCCUUGGUGGGGAUGAUGAGAAGGAGCUCAAACUGAUCCUCCCGAUUCGAAAAUGCAAAAUUUAAAACUCCAUGUGGUGCGCUACAGCUCCUGAAUGCGAGAUGCAGCUUUCCGGAGGCUCAAGGAAGUCUCAGACAUGCUACGUACUUCUGCAGUUUCGAUACCACUACGGACGGCAACCAAGUCUCACUUGGAAAGAUUUGCCGAUUUUUCCAGAUUUUCUAAACACAAAGUUUAUCAUGUUCAAACCAUUGUCAAUCGUUCAAUCAAGCACUUCACAAUCAAUAUCGCAUCA